ensembl:lncRNA
GGUUUUUAAGCUGUAUUAUUAUAUCUGUCCUUGGGAUGGUAUAGUUGGAGGCUCUUUUUAGCAGUAAUGGCCUUCUGUUAAUUAAGCUAAUUUUAAGAACUAAUGGUCCAACUAGCAAUAUUAUCCUGUAAUUAUCUGCAUAAAGUAGGUUUUCAGGCUGCUAUGUAAGUUGGGUGUUUUCCUCUAUUUUAUCCAUUUUACUGACCUACAGAGUGGCUAUGAAUCAGAGCAAGGACUGCCAUGUAAGGCUGUGCUGAUUGUGCACUGUAGAAAGGCGGCCAGUUAAGGAGGUAAAUGGGCCUGAAAUCUAUCUUGUGUACUUUCACCUCAGCAAGUCAUGUGUGGAGGAAGAGGUCCAUGUGCAAGGGGCUGAGGACAGCUGCCAGCCAAAACCCAUCAAAGAACUGAGACCCACAGUCCAACAGCUGCUGAGGAACUGAAUUCCCAUAACCAUAUGAGUUUAAAGGCAGGCCCUGCUUCAGCCGAGCCUUCAGAUGAGACCUCUACGCUGGCUGAUCCCUUGACUGCUGCCUUGUAAACCAGAGAAUGCAUUUAAGCCCAUAUCCAGGUUCCUGACCCACAGAAACUCUGAGGUAAUAAAUGUGUUAUUGUAAGCUGCCAAACUUUGGGAUAAUUUGUUAUGCAAACAACAGAUGACUAAUACAACUGUUUAAUUUUCUCUUAAAUUUAUAC